GUACACUCCUGCGGGAGGCAGCAGUGGGGAAUUUUGGACAAUGGGCGAAAGCCUGAUCCAGCCAUGCCGCGUGCAGGAUGAAGGCCUUCGGGUUGUAAACUGCUUUUGUACGGAACGAAACGGCCUUUUCUAAUAAAGAGGGCUAAUGACGGUACCGUAAGAAUAAGCACCGGCUAACUACGUGCCAGCAGCCGCGGUAAUACGUAGGGUGCAAGCGUUAAUCGGAAUUACUGGGCGUAAAGCGUGCGCAGGCGGUUAUGUAAGACAGUUGUGAAAUCCCCGGGCUCAACCUGGGAACUGCAUCUGUGACUGCAUAGCUAGAGUACGGUAGAGGGGGAUGGAAUUCCGCGUGUAGCAGUGAAAUGCGUAGAUAUGCGGAGGAACACCGAUGGCGAAGGCAAUCCCCUGGACCUGUACUGACGCUCAUGCACGAAAGCGUGGGGAGCAAACAGGAUUAGAAACCCUGGUAGUCCCAUGA
rnacentral:rRNA from 1 species